GAUCAGUUGGUUCAUGCAGAGCAACUCUUCACGUUCAGUUCCUCAAUACAGUUUCUACAGUGAUCAGGGACCGUUGUGUCAGCGGAUAGCGCGGGCGAGUGAUUCUCCAGGGGCUGGCGAUGCCUCUCACCUGUUCAUCUCCAUAGUCAUGCCCAAUCUUCUAGCUGUCGUUCACCAGGCUCUUCAUCAACCUCGGUGCAACCCUACGAACCACCAGCAUAGAUAACCUAUCUACUUCCUAGAUAAUCUUUUUAUGUGCUAUUAGUUAGCUUCUCUAUAAUAUGCAUGUAUGUCUUCUUUAAGGUUCUUGUUUUGUUGAAAUUUGGUCGUUCUAGGAUAGGUUUGAUCCUCUGUUAACCAUUUAACUUAGACGAGCAAAGCUUAUCUUACUUUUUUCAAAGAACAAAAUUAUUUUACUUAAUUACUUGGUUGAAUACCAACAUGUGCAGAUAUGCUUUGAGCAGACUCAUGUACGUGUGUUCCUGGUCUGCAGGUGAAAGCUUCAGAGUCAUCUGCUGCUUCUAGGAAAUAUUGCUUUUUAGAAGUGUACCGCGUAAUCUAAGCAAAUACCAGUAUCCAUAACCUGGCAUGUACAAGGCAUCGGAUCCAAAUGAAUAUGUUAUAUGCUGACAUAUAGUAGUUUAGGAUGUAAUGGUUUGGCAUAGGAGUUUCCCAGUUUUGGUUUUAUGUUGUGUUAAUGGGUUUUGCACAAACAUAAUGGCAUAGCUCUGAAUUUGGGUCCUCGGGAUCAAAAUAUUACUGUUAUAAACAAUCUAAUCAUUUUCCUUUUCCAAGGAAGGUUCUUUGGUUAUCAUCAGUAGAAGCGGGGUUGGAUUCGUUGACAGAUGUUAAAUGAUGGUCAAGGUUUUGCCGCCUCGCUCUGCACCCUUCAAGUUGUGGUUGUAUGAAGGAUGAACCUAUGUCUCAUUUUUUUGAGGGCGAACAUAUGUACCAUUUCCUUGCUUUAAUAGUUUAAUUAUUGGAAAAAUUAGUAUAUGUUCAAAUUAUUCAUCUCUGACACCAAGCAAAAACUUUUUUGAAAUCCUUUGAAGACUACACGAAAUAGCUUCAGAGUGGUCAUCAUAAACAUGUACCUAUUUGAAGAUCUUAUAUUAAGUAGUCCUCGAUA